GCCCAAGUGAAGGCAACAGGCCGCUGACAGCCUGAAAGGAAAUGAGUGAGUCUUUGGUGGUUUGUAAUGUUGCUGAAGAUUUAGUGCAAAAGCUGAGAAAGUUUCAUUUUCACAAAGAAAUGAACAAUGCUGCUAUUAUAAUGAAAACUGACAAGGAUAAACGCCGGGUAGUACUGGAUGAGGAGCUGGAGGGUAUUUCACCAGAUGAACUUAAAGAUGAACUGCCUGAACGACAACCUCACUUCAUUGUGUAUAGCUAUAAAUAUCAACAUAAUGGAUGGGAGAGUUCCAUAUCCUUUGUGCUUUAUUUUCUCCAGUUCUGUUGGACGUAAGCCUGAACAACAGAUGAUGUAUGCUGGGAGUAAGAAUAAGCUAGUCCAGAGAGCUGAACUAACCAAGGUAUUUGAAAUAAGAAAUAUGGAAGACCUAACUGAAGAAUGGUUAAGUGAUAAACUUGGAUUUUUCCACUAAUGUGAACUUCUGUGUUUCCAAAGUAUUUAUGUAUUAACCUGACCAUACUGGAACCAGACAUCAAUACUUAUUUGUGUCUAAAAAUGCAUUACUUACAGUCUGUUUUCUGCAGUAAAGAAAAAUUCUUCAUUUGUGCAAAGUUUGAACCAAGAGGAAAUCAUUUUCAUAGUAAUGAACCUUUGUAUGGUGUUUCCUUGUAUUGGUAAUUGUUAGGUGGAUUACUUUUCUCCAGGGA